UCUUCUUCUUUCUGCUUCUCCUCUCUUCUAUUUCUCUUCCCUUCUUCUGCGUUUCUUCUUAUGCCGAAUUUUGUGAGAUGAGAUUGACGCUGAGUUGUAAAUUAAAUCAAACAAUGAAACUUGAUAGAUGAAGAAGGGGAUGAUAUAUCCGUGGAUAGAGAGAAAGAAGAUGAUGUGGUGGUGAAUCGUGAAGAUGAGACAUAUAAGAAGAUUAGGGUUUCGUCUGAAUUUGAGAUGAUUUGAGAGGUGAUUGGGUUGCUAUUAGAUAAAAAAACAGUAGGGUUGUAGCAGAAUCGAAGUUCUGAAGUUGAUUCAGUGAUCAAUCGAAGAAGUUAGACUUAGGGUUUCUCAAGACAAUGUGAGAGAAGUAUUAAGAGUUCGAUUUGGUGAUGAUGAAGAUGAAAUUAAGGAUGGGUUUCACGAACAGAUCAUGAAGAAGAAGUUUGUUGUGUUAUUUGAGAAUUCGAUAGGAGAAAUUGAAGAAUUAAGGUUCAUGUGUUCUUUCCCAAAAUUGAUUUAGGGUUUCAAUAGAAUUGGAUUGAGGGAAAAGCAAUUCAGUGGAUGCUGAUACUUGGGUAAGUCUCUAAAUUGAUUGAGUUAUAGUAUUUUAAUCUGAAUUGUUUUAAUUAUUGAGAUUGGGUGAUUAUGAAUGAAUAUGAGUUUUAGAUGAAUGGGAUGAGGUUGCAGAUGAUAAUGGAAAUGAUGUCGAAGUAAGGUUGCUAUGUUUAUUUUGAUGGUUCAAGUUGAUUAAGAUUAAGUCAGUUAUGUGGGUGUGCAUCUGAGUUCGUUUAGCUGACAAUGAUGAUUGUAGUAAUUGAAGUUUAAGUGUGUUAGAAUUGAAAUUGUUAUGGUUUGGAUGAAUGAGUGAUUACAAGAUAUGGGAUUGGAUAAUUAUGGAUGUCCGAAUUGUGGUUAAAGUUAUGAUGCAGUUAUUAUUGGGUUACAGAGAACUGUGAUGAAUUACAAAAGUUGUAGUGGAACUGAAUUGAGAUGUUGCAGGGGUUAUGGUCUGGUGAAGUACAAGGUUCUGAGGAAUGAUAGUGAAACUGAGAAGUAAAGGACAAGUUUAAUUGAGAGUUAUAGAUAUGCAUUGGCAGUUUAGCUGUGCUGGUUUGUUUGUGUUGAAAAGCUUGCAACUACUGCAAUUGCAGUUAGUCCUUAUCAACAACGCUCGAUUCAAAGUAUGAACCAGUGGAUCGUAGAUCUCGAGGUAGGCGUGGCUUGUCAUCAAAAGAGGCCUUUGUCGUUGGAUUCAUGCUCUGUUCUUAUUCGGAUCUAGAGACUAACAUAAUUCAGUGGAUAUAGGUCGAAGAAGAACGAUUUGUCUGUUGGUAGUUUAGUUCGGGUUAGGCGUAGGAAUGGAUCGUGGUGGCCGUGGCGUAUAAUGGGAUUUCAUGAAUUUCCUGAUGGUUGCGUCCUUUCUCUGAAGGAUCAAACUCCGGUGAAGUUCUUGGGACGAUAUAAUGCAAACAUUUGGUCAAUUAGCAAGGGGCUCAACAAGACGUGCUAGUUGAUAUGGUUGCAUAAAGUCAUUCUUACAAGCAGAGAUUGGUACACCUUAUCAACACAACUACGCAUUUUGGAGUCAUGUUACAUGAAAGAAGAGGAGAAGAGGCAUAAUUCAUUAUUUUGGCUACGCUAGGUGCUAAUGGAUUUGAAGCCAAGGCAGUCACACUUAUUAAUCGGGGUAGCCACCUGCUGUGAUAAGGGCCAGUCUUAUACGCAGCAACAACAAAGCUAGGUGCUAAUACACUCGACCAGUUCUGCUCAUUUCAUCUCAGUCUACAACCAAAAUACGAAGAGCUGCUGCCAAGAGUUCACCGUUGUCCAACAAAGUCGACCAGCAGCUAGUCACGGUUCUUGUGGUCGUGUUUGAGGAGGAAAGGCGUGAUCCAGAAGCUCAGAACAACACGACAGAGUGAGAGAUUAAUACCGAGAAACCAGUUGGGAAAGAGUUGUUGUCUGUCAUUGAUUGGAAUGAAGAUCAAGGGAGAUCAGGACUGGGAUCUCGAAGAUGAGAAGGAAAUAAAGAUUGGGUAUUCAAUUUUGGAGAGUUUGGUUUGAUUUUGAAGUCGUUUUGCUUCCAAGAGAAGGCAGUGAAGAGAAGACAAGUUGCUGCCGUUAUGAUGAUAAGUGAUGAUGAAUGUUUCUGAUUUUUGAAUGAAUUAGAAAUGUGGAUGCUUGUGUAAUUUAAUUAUUGUCUCAGGGAAGGAGAUUGAAAGAUCUUAGGAUUCAACAUCAAGCUCAGAACUGUAUAUAAGCAAACUGCACACAGGUUGUUUGUAGAAAGAGCAUUUCUUCACAGUUUCAAGAUCAGCUGCGACCAGCUUAGUAUGUCAGAUGUAGGAGAUGUUAAAAAUGCAGACAAGGGAUUGUGCAACCAGUAUUCACAAAUCCAAGUAAGUCUUUUGCAUUUAUCAGCCAUGGUUACAUAGGUUGUACAAGGGUUCGACCAGACUUUCGACAAGAGUUUGAGGCGAGUAAUCAGUGAAGAGGGCAACAGUUCUGCCCAAGUAUUGUGUAGCUGCUAGUCUUGGCUCGAGGCUGUGCACAAGGGAUGUCUGGCAAAGGCAAAAGCUUGAUUUAGAACUUGAGAUAAACAUGGAAACAUUGGUCGAAUAUUCAAAGAUUGGGUUUGUAAAACUUGGACGAAAAACCAGUUAAGAGAGUGAAGCUUCUUGCCGUUGAUUUUGAUAGUU